UAGGGAAUCUUCGGCAAUGGACGAAAGUCUGACCGAGCAACGCCGCGUGAGUGAAGAAGGUUUUCGGAUCGUAAAACUCUGUUGUUAGAGAAGCACAAGGACGUUAGUAACUGAACGUCCCCUGACGGUAUCUAACCAGAAAGCCACGGCUAACUACGUGCCAGCAGCCGCGGUAAUACGUAGGUGGCAAGCGUUGUCCGGAUUUAUUGGGCGUAAAGCGAGCGCAGGCGGUUUCUUAAGUCUGAUGUGAAAGCCCCCGGCUCAACCGGGGAGGGUCAUUGGAAAAUGGGAGACUUGAGUGCAGAAGAGGAGAGUGGAAUUCCAUGUGUAGCGGUGAAUUGCGUAGAUAUAUGGAGGAACACCAGUAGCGAAGGCGGCGCGCUGGUCUGUAACUGAAGCUGAGGAUCGAAAGCGUGGGGAGCAAACAGG
rnacentral:rRNA from 1 species